UACGUAGGGUGCGAGCGUUAAUCGGAAUUACUGGGCGUAAAGCGUGCGCAGGCGGUAAGUUAAGUCUGAUGUGAAAGCCCCGGGCUCAACCUGGGAAUGGCAUUGGAAACUGGCUUGCUAGAGUGUGGCAGAGGGGGGUGGAAUUCCGCGUGUAGCAGUGAAAUGCGUAGAGAUGCGGAGGAAUACCGAUGGCGAAGGCAGCCCCCUGGGCCGACACUGACGCUCAGGCACGAAAGCGUGGGGAGCAAACAGG
rnacentral:rRNA from 1 species